CUUUUUUUUUUUUUUGGGGGGGGGGGGGGAAGCACCCACAUGAGGGCCUUGGUGAGGGGGGGAAACGGAGGGCAUAGGUGGAAAAAUCCCGUACUUAGCCGAAUUCCCUUCGGGGAAAGUUUUCCCUUUAACAGGCCGGGUUCGAUAGCUGUUGGGAGGUACCGCUCCCCAGGGGACGAUCAGUACCCGUCCUCAAGAUGACCACCCCCUGGGAUUUAGACCAGGCCGGAAUCCUUGGGCAGGCAUCAGGGGGGAUUUGGCAACGUCGAAAUCCUAACGCAUCCAUGCCGCAUGAAUGAUGAAGGUGUUAGGACUGUAAGAUUCUUUCACUGCGGGCGAUAAUAACGGUACCUGAAGAAGAACCACCAGCUAACGUUGUACCAGCAGCGCCAGUAAUACUAGGGGGCUAGCGUUGAUAGGAAUUACAGGGCGUUAAGGGAGCGUAGACGGAUAGCUCAGUCAGAGGUGAAAUCCCAGCGCUCAUCCCUGGAGCUGCAGAGGAUGUUAGAGAUAUGGAGUAUGAGAGAGGUAUCAGUAACUCCGAGAGUAGAGGUGAAAUUCGUAGAUAUUCGGAAGAACAUCAGUGGAGAACACGACAUAUUGGGUCAGUAAUGACGCUGAGCAGCGAAAACGAGGGGAGCAAACAGUAUUAGAUACCCUGGUAGUCCACUCCGUAAACGAUCAUUGGUAGUUGUCGGGCUGCAUGCAGUUCGGUGAGCGCAGCUAACGCAUUAAGCAAUCCCCAUGGGGAGUAUGGUCGCAAGAUUAAAACUCAAAGGAAUAGAGGGGGACCCGCACAAGCGGUGGAGCAUGUGGUUUAAUUCGAAGCAUCGCGCAGACCCUUACCACCUUUUGACAUGCCUGGGCAGCCACGGCAGAGAGUGGCUUUCCCUUAGGGGACUAGUACACAGGUGCAGCAUGUCUGUCGUCAUCUCGUGUCGAGAGAUGUUGGGAUAACUCCCGCAGUGAGCACAACCCUCGCCAUUACGUUGCUCAAUCAUGUUAUGUUGGGAACUCUAAUGGAGGAACGUGUGGAAAGCCGGAGGAAGGCAUGGACGACGUCAAGUCCUCAUGACCCGUCCAGGGAGGGUUACACACGUGGCGUACACAUAGGCAAGUACAGAGGGUUCAUCCUCAGAAGUCGUAUCAGAGUGGAUAGUCCUGUGCAAAUCUAGGGCAUGAAGAUUGAAUAUCUAGUAAUAUCGGAUCAGCAUGUGUCGGUGAAUACGUUGCUCGGGCCUUGUACACACCCCCCGUCGUCACCAUCAGAGUUGUUUGUACCCCAAGGACGUGUGUUACUCNUCCAGCAAUGGAGGCACCAUUACCACGGAGGUUCGGGGUU
rnacentral:rRNA from 1 species